CUCUUCGGAGCUAGUGGCGGACGGGUGAGUAACGCGUGAGAAUCUGCCUUCUUGUCUGGGACGACAGAAGGAAACUUCUGCUAAUCCCGGAUGAGCCCUUGGGUAAAAGAUAAAUUGCCUGGAGAUGAGCUCGCGUCUGAUUAACUAGUUGGUGUGAUAAAAGCAUACCAAGGCGACGAUCAUUAGCUGGUCUGAUAGGAUGAGCAGCCCCACUGGGACUGACACACGGCCCAGACUCCUACUGCAGGCAGCAGUGGGGAAUUUUCCGCCAUGGGCGAAAACCUGACAGAGCAAGACCGCCUGGGGCAGGAAAGC
rnacentral:rRNA from 1 species